rnacentral:rRNA from 1 species
GGCCUACGGGAGGCAGCAGUGGGGAAUAUUGGACAAUGGAGGAAACUCUGAUCCAGAGAUACCGUGUGAGUGAAGAAGGCCUUAACUGGUCGUAAAGCUCUUUUAGUGGGGAAGAUUAUGACGGUACCCACAGAAAAAGUGUCGGCUAACUCUGUGCCAGCAGCCGCGGUAAGACAGAGGACACAAGCAUUGCUCGGAAUUAUUGGGCGUAAAGGGUACGUAGGCUGGUAUAUAAGUUUAUGGUGAAAUCUCGAAAGGUAAAUUCGAAACUGCUAUAAAUACUAUAUAUCUAGAAAUUGGGAGAGGUAAACGGAAUUUCUGUAGGAGGGGUCAAAUCCAUCGAUCACAGAAGGAACACCAAAGGCGAAGGCAGUUUACUGGAACAUUUUUGACGCUGAGGUACGAAAGCGUGGGGAGCAAUCAGGAUUAGAUACCCUGGUAGUCCACGCCCUAAACUAUGAGAACUAAAUAUUGCACUUUGUGCAGUCUAUGAAGCUAACGCGUUAAGUUCUCCGCCUGGGUAGUAAAGACGCAAGUUCGAAACUCAAAGGAAUUGACGG